AAUAGCCUAAUGGCUGAACCAGCAAUUUGGGGGAAUGUAUAGUGCAAGCUAGUUGUAUUAACCAUUAAUACAAUAUCGAUUAUGUCGGAUAAAGUUCUAGAUAGAAUAAUGACAAUGACAAUUUUCUAUCUAUAUGUCUUGGCUAAAUCUCGUGCCAGCAGCCGCGGUAAUACGAGGAAGACUAGUGUUAUUCAUCUUUAAUAGGUUUAAAGGGUACCUAGACGGUAUUUUUAGCCCAAAACAGGGUACGGAUUUACUAGAGUUUUAUGUGAGAAAGGGAGUACUUAUGGAGUAGAGAUGAAAUUCUUUUAUACUAUGAGGUAACUGGUAGAGGCGAAAGCAACCUUCUAUGUAGAAACUGACGUUGAGGGACGAAGGCCUGGGUAGCAAAUAGGAUUAGAUACCCUAGUAGUCCAGGCAGAAAAUUAUGAAUGCCAUAGACUAGAGAUUAAAAACUAGAGACUAAUAACUAGAGACUAGUAAUUAGAGACUAGAUUAAUUUUAGUCUAUAAAUAAAAGUGUAAGCAUUCCACCUCAAGAGUAAUGUGGCAACACAGGAACUGAAAUCAUUAGACCGUUUCUGAAACCAGUAGUGAAGUAUGUUAUUUAAUUCGAUGACCCGCGAAAAACCUUACCACAAUUUGUAUGUUAUUUAUUUAAUACAAGCGCUGCACGGCUGUCUUCAGUUAAUGUCGUGAGAUUUUGGUUAGUUCCAUUAAAUUAACGUAAACCCUUGCUUUAUUUAUUUAUUUUUAUAAAGUAGUUCGCCACUAUAUUGGAUAUGAUAAAAGGGGCUAAGACAAGUCAUCAUGGCCUUAAUAUUGUGGGCUAUAGACGUGCCACAUAUGCCUAUACAAAGAGAUGCAAUAAUGUGAAUUAGAGCUAAUCUCAAAAAGUAGGAUAUAACAU
rnacentral:rRNA from 1 species